UACGUAGGGUGCAAGCGUUGUCCGGAAUUAUUGGGCGUAAAGAGCUCGUAGGCGGUCUGUCGCGUCUGCUGUGAAAACUCGGGGCUUAACCCCGGGCCUGCAGUGGGUACGGGCAGACUAGAGUGCGGUAGGGGAGACUGGAAUUCCUGGUGUAGCGGUGAAAUGCGCAGAUAUCAGGAGGAACACCGGUGGCGAAGGCGGGUCUCUGGGCAGUAACUGACGCUGAGGAGCGAAAGCGUGGGGAGCAAACAGG
rnacentral:rRNA from 1 species